CACUUGACUGAUACAGGACUACGCACAGAAACUCUUCAGGAGCAACAUUGCCAGCGGUGCUAAUCGUCUCUCACCAAAGUCAGAGAUACCCAAGAGGACUAAGAAGAACCAGAAAGGAAUGUUCCUGAGUUACACGCAAAGCUAACUCAAGACAUAAAGAAGCACUUCUUCACUGUCAGGGGCUAGGACUGAAACUCUGGCUAAAGGUCCGUGCUGGAAAGAGCUGGAAAAGAGAACAGACCUUCUGUCCUCGGAGGGUUAUUAGCUAUUUGCUGGGUGGUCUCUCAAUCCUGUCCAGCUCCAGAACUCUAUACAAAUACGAAUUACAAUACGGGCUAGGGUGCUGGGGCUGACUUGGGAUUCAGUCCUCCCGAGGGGGCCCUGAGAAGGCCCAGAAGGGAGCCGGCCAGUCCCGAGCCCCCCUUUGUCGUCUGUCCUGAACUCGCUUCGUGUACACCAUUUAGCUUCCGCAGCAGCGGCAGGGGCAGAGGCCCCCCGAAGUCCUGUGUGUGGGCGGGAGAAGGCCGAGCCUGAAAAGCUGCCUUUGUGCCCUCAGCCGGCUCAGGGAGCCAGGGGAGCCAUUAGCCCGUUGCUAGGUGACGGCCCGAAUGAAUCCGCACUCAACGCUGUCACAUGCGUCAUCCCUUUACACGAAUGAAUGCGGGAAGAGCUGCUGGAGAGGGCUGUGGGCUGAAGGACCUGUUGACAGAGAAAAUGGUUCUGUCACAGGGAGCUAAAUGUGCAGCCUCACGUGGCAGAUCCGCAUCUUCUGAUCAGAAAACCGGCUCGAUCCAGA